CUUUAAGCCAGUGUUCUAUCCAAGAACACAAUUUUUCAUCUUGACAAACUAAUUUCAGUAUUACUAUUAACCUUUUCUGUGGAACUGUGUCAAAUAUUUUAGCAAAAUCCAAGCAGAUCACAUCUGCUAAAGCACCAUAAUCUAUAUUUCUACAAAAUUUUUCAUAGAAUGCAAUUAAGUGAGUUUCAUAUAAUUUCCCAGCCAUAAAUGUUAAGCUCACGAGUAUGUAGUUUCCUGGUUGAGUUUUUGAACCCUUUUUAAAUAUGGGCACCACAUCUGCUUUUCUCCAAUUCUCUGGUACAAUUC